UGUCGGUCGGUGAAUAUCUCUACUAUUAUAGUACAUAAUUUUUUGAAAUUUGAAUCUACAUUCUUCUUGCAUGUUUCGCGCCCACCAACUUACAUAAUGGAUUCAUCUUUAGCCGUCCACUUUAUCAGAUCGAACGGCCCACAUUACUCGGAUUCGCCUCCCACCUAUUCCCGCCAAAGCCUGAGAACUCAGUGGCCCCUUCUGGAAAACUCCACAACCCACGCUCGCCUCCAGCAAAUCGAUUCCCCACCAAGGCUCCAGCAAAUCGAUUCCCCGCCAAGGCGCCAGCCUCGCUGAUUUCACCACCACAUCCAUAUGCUCUGUAUAAAAUUUCUCUAGCGUGUACGUCACACACCAUGAUCUCCGCCAGUUCAUAACCGCCGUCCACGCCCCAGAUCCUUCGAAUCACCUCAACAUCCAGAUUGCAGCUCCACCAUCGUCUCCUUGCAAGCUCUGACUUAGUUCAAAUUUUCUUGCCGCCUGGUGAGUCCAGGUUCAUGAGAGCUGGACAUCCUACUACAACCAGCUCACCAUAGUGCCAUCGACGGACUGACCACAAGUUGUGGCCGAAAACACCUGACUUAUAACAAUCAAGAAUCAAAGUCAUAACCGCGAGCCGUCCAGUAAAACCCAAGAGAUGGAAGGCCGAGCUCCUUUCAGAGAUAUUACAAAUGUUCACUCCACGACUUCACCAAAAGGGAACCAACGUACGUUGUUUUUAUUAAACCGAUAUCUUCUACUUAUUAUCCUUAUUGAUCGCUUGCCUUGAUAGUAGCUGUGAUUGCAGAGCAGAAUGAUCCUUUUGCAGAAACCAAAAACACUAUGCAAAUGAAUUCUUCCCAGAGCAUCAGAGGAUGAUGUUCUCCCCUUCAAGUUUAAAAGAAACAAUUUCCAAUUCGGCUUAGUUUUGCCAUGACAAUCAACAAAGCCCAGGGUCAAACCAUCCCAAAUGUUGGCGUAUAUCUUCCUGAGCCGGUGUUUUCUCAUGGACAACUCUAUGUUGCUUUGUCUAGAGGGACAUCAAGACAAACAACCACUCCCUCCGUUCCUAAAUAUUUGUCUUUCUAGACGUUUCAAAUGACUACCACAUACGGAUGUAUGUAGACAUUUUUUAGAGUGUAGAUUCACUCAUUUUGCUCCGUAUGUAGUCAUUUGUUGAAAUGUCUAGAAAGACAAAUAUUUAGGAACGGAGGGAGUAGAUUACUUGCAAGGCCAAAUAAGGAUAAUGACCCAUCAGGGAAAAGCACAAAAAAUAUUGUCUACAGGGAUGUUUUGGUAUAAUCCAUGUACAUGCUGUGUACUGUAGCGUGAUGUUUCUAAUAUGUUUCUAUUCAUGUAAAUAGUACCCAGGAAAAAUAAUAUUAGAUAGGGUUUCAGUCAUUAGCUUGUCCUUAUGAAAAUUUUAGACCAAAAGAUAUGUUUACAGGGGUAAUAAUCUAGCAUGUACAGUACUUAAAUCUA